CAGGGAAUAAAGUUUGCAACUUAAAUUUCAGGUUGAGAAUCUUGAUGAGAAGGCUGGCAUAUUGUCCACUUUUAAUAACGAAAAAGAUGAAGACGACGAUGAAUCUUUCAAAUUCAAUGAUGAGGAGCUCUCGGCUUUUUUAAAAGUAAAUGGAUGGUUUCAAUCGUCGGCAAAUGUUGGGACUAUAGCUAAACUUAAGCGACCAAGGGAUGUACUGGCUAGAAAUGAAGAUGCAUCUUCGAGAUCCAACAAGCAUGAGACUUCGAAAGUGGUGCUGAAGAUGGACUUGCAGAGUGACAAAGCAAAGCAGAAGGCCAUGAAGAUGGUUGCUGAGCUUCCAGGUAC